rnacentral:rRNA from 1 species
ACUCCUACGGGAGGCAGCAGUGGGGAAUAUUAGGCAAUGGGCGAAAGCCUGACCUAGCAACGCCGCGUGAGGGAAGAAGGUCUUCGGAUUGUAAACCUCUGUCGCAGGGGACGAAGAAAGUGACGGUACCCUGUGAGGAAGCCCCGGCUAACUACGUGCCAGCAGCCGCGGUAAUACGUAGGGGGCGAGCGUUGUCCGGAAUUACUGGGCGUAAAGGGUGCGUAGGCGGCGCUUUAAGUUGGAUGUGAAAUCCCCGAGCUUAACUAGGGGUCUGCAUCCAAUACUGGGGCGCUAGAGUGCAGGAGGGGUAAGCGGAAUUCUCAGUGUAGCGGUGAAAUGCGUAGAUAUUGGGAAGAACACCGGUGGCGAAGGCGGCUUACUGGACUGUAACUGACGCUGAUGCACGAAAGCGUGGGGAGCAAACAGGAUUAGAUACCCUGGUAGUC